GCGGACAUAGCUCAGUUGGGAGAGCGUCAGACUGAAAUCAACUUCAAUCACUUAAUCUGAAGGUCGUGUGUUCAAUCCACACUGGCCGCA
rnacentral:tRNA from 1 species